UAGCCCAACGAACCAGUGUGUACCAUUC
rnacentral:sRNA from 1 species